CUCAUAUAUAUCUAAAACCCUAGAAUCACAUUCAGUCACUCAAAUUUCUGAACUCUCACUUAUGGUUUGAGAAUCAACAACACAGUAACAAUGUCGAUGUCUAAGAGUAUGUUUGUACGUGGUGCUGAAAUCGUUGUUUGAUUCCCUUCUCUGAACAAGUUCUUCUUCUAGCUUGUUUCCUUAUCUGCGCUAUCUCCUUGAAAAAAUAGUUAAAUUGUGUGUUUAUUUUAUUGUUAAAUUUUGAUAUACAAUCUCCACUUCCAAGGAACAGUUCGAAGCAGUGCGCAACUGUUGAUGAGGAUGACAUUUAUUUCUUCGUCAUCUGAUCUGGGGAUUGUUUGGUCGUUCAUAUUGUUCUUUCUCUCAACUGUGAUUUCUUUGAUUAAUCAGGUUAGGUUCGAAGAUGGUUUAGCCACCGUGUUUGGUCGCCGGCGCUAUCUUCGGUAUAUCUGGCUUCACGUCAUGAUAUCAUUCAACUCUUGGAUUUUAAUCCGAGCCCGGGUCUCCAUUCCAUUGCUAUUAUAGCAUUGUGGCCCAUUGAAGGCACACAUGGUGUACCAGUACAACAUUGGAUUCAAGAAUCUGAGCUGAUACAUUUGUAUUUGUAGUUAAAAGAAUCUGAAAAGCAGUAUAAAAAACAUUCAUCCAGUUAGAUGUCGAAGAUCAGGACAUGAUCUAUAAGAUGUAUGAGAGGUUUGGAGUUUCUUAUAGGGGCAACAACAACAAUGCAUAAUUAACGAUGCUCGUUGUUCUUGGAAAAUCUUGUGUUGUGCGGCUCAUCGUGUGAUUGUGACCGCGACAAAGGAAAUAUGUCGCUGCAAUUGACUUUGAAAAUGAGGGUAAAUACCUGGCAUCAGCCAUCCGUCACAGGAAGUGGUUGUCUCACCAUUCACAAUUUCGAUAGUCUCUACCCUGAGGCAUUGACUUCAGUAGGUGUUUGGGUUGCUAACCCUAAAGUCACGCGUGCGCCACCUCCAGAGUCAGAGAUCGUUGGUCUGUCACAGGCCAAAAACACCGCCUCCAAAUCUUCAUCCUUGUGCUGCCACGUGCGAAAACAUAACCUGUGUCUCCUGGCACGUGAAACCCACGCACCUUACUCUGAUCACCAGUUCACCACAUGGUUCCCACCAUUUGGUUUGCUCCUCCCCUUUGGUUCUUUUAAGACUCUUUCCAGCUUGUGGGUCCCAUGGUAAAUGGGUGUUUUUGAGGUUUCUUUGCUUUUGUGUUGGUUUUUAAUCAUCACGAUGAUGUUACAGAACGUUUUUUACUUCUGUUUUUGGUCUUUUAUUGUCGUGACUGUGUCCCAAGGGUUUUCGGUUUAGAUUUCAGGAUAAUUUGGUUGUUGUGUUUUGAUUAUACAAUGCAUAGCAGCCAUUACACGUCUAUUGUUGUUCUAAUAUCGACAAGAUAUUUCAACAAGUGAUAAUGAUCAUUUGUAUUUUUGUUUUAGUGCCUGGUGUUAAUGUAGGCACAUAUAAGGAAAUGUAUAUCUUAAUUAAUGUUUUAAUUAAGAAUAAGUGUAUAUUAUAUUUAGUA